CGUGUAGCCGGGCCUUUAAGUCAGAUGUGAAAUCCGCGGGCUUAACCCGCGAACUGCAUUUGAAACUGAGGGUCUUGAGUAUCGGAGAGGUAAUCGGAAUUCCUAGUGUAGCGGUGAAAUGCGUAGAUAUUAGGAAGAACACCAGUGGCGAAGGCGGAUUACUGGACGACAACUGACGGUGAGGCGCGAAAGCGUGGGGAGGCAAAACA
rnacentral:rRNA from 1 species